rnacentral:rRNA from 1 species
UACGAACCGUGCGAACGUUGUUCGGAAUCACUGGGCUUAAAGGGCGCGUAGGCGGGCUGCCAAGUCUGGGGUGAAAUCCCACGGCUCAACCGUGGAACUGCCUCGGAUACUGGCGGCCUCGAGGGAGGUAGGGGCGUGCGGAACUGUGGGUGGAGCGGUGAAAUGCGUUGAUAUCCACAGGAACUCCGGUGGCGAAGGCGGCACGCUGGACCUUUUCUGACGCUGAGGCGCGAAAGCCAGGGGAGCAAACGGG